GAUGAACGCUGGCGGCGUGCCUAAUACAUGCAAGUCGAGCGAACGGACGAGAAGCUUGCUUCUCUGAUGUUAGCGGCGGACGGGUGAGUAGCACGUGGAUAACCUACCUAUAAGACUGGGAUAGCUUCGGGAAACCGUAGCUAAUACCGGAUAAUAUUUUGAACCGCAUGGUUCAAAAGUGAAAGACGGUCUUGCUGUCACUUAUAGAUGGAUCCGCGCUGCAUUAGCUAGUUGGUAAGGUAACGGCUUACCAAGGCAACGAUGCAUAGCCGACCUGAGAGGGUGGUCGGCCACACUGGAACGUAGACACGGUCCAGACUCCUACGGGAGGCAGCAGUAGGGAAUCUUCCGCAAUGGGCGAAAGCCUGACGGAGCAGCGCCGCGUGAGUGAUGAAGGUCUUCCGAUCGUAAAACUCUGUUAUUAGGGAAGAACAUAUGUGUAAGUAACUGUGCACAUCUUGACGGUACCUAAUCAGAAAGACACGGCUAACUACGUG
rnacentral:rRNA from 1 species